rnacentral:hammerhead_ribozyme from 1 species
AUCCAGCUGACGAGUCCAAAGUAGGGCGAAACUCACGUCUUGGAU